rnacentral:sRNA from 1 species
GGAUGUGAGGGCGAUCUGGCUGCGACAUCUGUCACCCCAUUGAUCGCCAGGGUUGAUUCGGCUGAUCUGGCUGGCUAGGCGGGUGUCCCCUUCCUCCCUCACCGCUCCAUGUGCGUCCCUCCCGAAGCUGCGCGCUCGGUCGUCGAAGAGGACGACCUUCCCCGAUAGAGGAGAGGACCGUUCUUCGGUCAAGGGUAUACGAGUAGCUGCGCUCCCCUGCUAGAACCUCCAAAUAAGCUCUCAAGACACUGGUUUUGUCUUUUUUUCCCUGAAGUUCUUUUCUGGUUUGAUAAUGAUUUUCCUAAUUCCUUAUUCCCACCUCUAAACAUAAAUAAGUUCAAAGUUCUGUUUU